rnacentral:misc_RNA from 1 species
GAUGAAGAACUUAGCGAAAUGCGAUACUUGGUGUGAAUUGCAGAAUCCCGUGAACCAUCGAGUCUUUGAACGCAAGUUGCGCCCGAAGCCAUUAGGCCGAGGGCACGCCUGCCUGGGUGUCACACGUCGUUGCCCCCCCAUCUACUCCUUCGGGAUUGCGGGGGGCGGAUGAUGGCCUCCUGUGCGCCUCGUCGCGCGGUUGGCAUAAAUGCCAAGUCCUCGGCGACGCACGCCACGACAAUCGGUGGUUGCGAAACCUCGGUUGCCCGUCGUGUGCGGUCGUCGCGCAUCGAGGGCUCGAAAAAAUUGCCGGGCUCCGGCUCGGCUUUCAACGCGACCCCAGGUCAGGCGGGGUUACCCGCUGAAUUUAAGCAUAUCAAUAAGCGGAGGA